rnacentral:rRNA from 1 species
AUUGAACGCUGGCGGCAGGCCUAACACAUGCAAGUCGAGCGGACGAAGGGAGCUCGCUCUUGGCUUCAGCGGCGGACGGGUGAGUAAUGCCUAGGAAUCUGCCUGGUAGUGGGGGAUAACGUCCGGAAACGGGCGCUAAUACCGCACACGUCCUGAGGGAGAAAGGGGGGGAUCUUCGGACCUCACGCUAUCAGCUGAGCCUAGGUCGGAUUAGCUAGUUGGUGAGGUAAAGGCCUACCAAGGCGACGAUCCGUAACUGGUCUGAGAGGGUGAUCAGUCACACUGGAACUGAGACACGGUCCAGACUCCUACGGGAGGCAGCAGUGGGGAAUAUUGCGCAAUGGGCGAAAGCCUGAUCCAGCCAUGCCGCGUGAGUGAAGAAGGUCUUCGGAUUGUAAAACUCUUUAAGUUGGGAGGAAGAACAGUAUGUUAAUACAUGGCUGUUUUGACGUUACCAACAGAGUAAGCACCGGCUAACUACGUG